UACGUAGGGUGCAAGCGUUUGUCCGGAAUUAUUGGGCGUAAAGAGCUCGUAGGCGGUUUGUCGCGUCUGCUGUGAAAACCCGAGGCUCAACCUCGGGCCUGCAGUGGGUACGGGCAGACUAGAGUGCGGUAGGGGAGAUUGGAAUUCCUGGUGUAGCGGUGGAAUGCGCAGAUAUCAGGAGGAACACCGAUGGCGGAGGCGGGUCUCUGGGCAGUAACUGACGCUGAGAAGCGAAAGCAUGGGGAGCGAACAGG
rnacentral:rRNA from 1 species